UCCCCUAGGGCUCAUCUAAGGCCUAAGAUGGCGGCGUUUGCAUAGGGUGUAAGCCCUGCAGGCGUACGACAUGUGGAAAGGCGGCCAAAGGACGAAUCUGCUAAGGAAUGUUCAGGAACUCGCCGAUAUUUGUGUUGUGAUUUUUUAAAACUUUAAAUAGUACAGUUGAAGCCACCCCUUCAUCACAUGCCACAAUGGUCUUGCUGUGGAUUACAGUGUUCAUUCUUAUGAAGAACCCAAAAAAUGUAACACAUUCUCUAGAGAAAAGAAGAUUCCAACUCUAAGUGAUAUGGAACCACACCCUCACUAUCUCAGAAGUAUGCCUGCAAUUGGACUUUAUUUGACUUACAAAUGUGCACCAUAGUGUGGAAUUGUGGACCAACCAAUUCCACACAAAGAUACUACAGAGUCCAGAAAUUCGGACAUCUUUAAAGUGCUGAAGCUUUCUCUCUCUGAGAAUCUUUAUCUCCUACUCCACAACGUGAAGCAAAGCUUCAGUGAAAGCUGACUCCAUGGGGUGCUUAAUUCCUCAAGGUUCCUCCACCUGGUCCUUGCAUGCAGUCAAGUCAGCUUCAUCUCCUUGGCCAGAGCCUAAAUAUCAUCAAGAGGUCGAAGCUUUGGGUCUUCUCAUGUAUUAUCUGAGCAUACAUCCAACUGACUAGCGAACUCUGGCGUUUGAAUUCCUCAACCAGAAGUCAAGUCGGAGGCACUGGGAAGGGAGCACUGAGUCAAGGAUGCUAGACCACUAGAGAGUCCUCAGUCACAGGGAAUAUUCACUGCAGAGAAAUCUCACAGAGGCCUCUAUCAGAGUCUAAGACCAGCUUCACCCAACUGCCUGCAACUGCCAGUGCUUGAUACCUCACACCAAACUACAAACAAGACAGGAACACAAACCCAUACAACAGCACACAGACUACCUAAAGCCAUGUUAAGCUCACAGAUACCGUAAAACAAACCACCUGACAUGGCCCUGCUCAUCAGAGGGAAAAGACUCAGAUCCACACACCAGAAAGCAGGCACCAGACCCUCCCAUCAGGAAGCCUACUCAAGACACUGGACCAACCCCAUCACAGGGGGCAGAGAACAAAAACAAGAGGAAUUACUACUAGGCAGCAUAGGGAAAGGAGAGAGCAAAUACUGUAAAUUAGACAAAAUGAGAAAACAAAGAAAUACCUUGCAGGCAAAGGAGCAAGAUAAAAACCCACAAGACCAAAUAAAUGAAGAGGAAAUAGGAAAAUUGCCUGAAAAAGAAUUCAGUGUAAUGAUGGUAAAGAUGAUCCAUAUUCUCAAAAAAAUAAAAUAGACAAAAUACAAGAAACAUUUAAUGAGAUCUUAGAACUACAGAGCAAAGAAAUAGUAAUGAACAAUACAAUAACUGAAAUUAAAAACACUCUAGAUGGUAUAAACAGCAGAAUAACUGAGGCAGAAGAAUAAGUAAGUGAGUUGGAAGAUAGAAGGGUGGAAAUAACUGCCACAGAGCAGGAAAAAGAAAAAAGAAAAAAAUAGAAUGGAAGACAGUCUCAGAUACCUCGGGGAAAACAUUAAGCGCACCAACAUUCGAUUCAUAGGCAUCCCAGAAGAAGAGGAAAAAAAGAAAGGGUCUGAGAAAAUAUUUGAAGAGAUUACUGUGGAAAACUUUCCCAAUAUGGGAAAGGAAAUAGCCAGUAAAGUUCCAGAAGCAUGGAGAAUCCUAUACAGAAUAAACCCAAGGAGAAACACACUGAGGCACAUAUUAAUGAAAAUAUUGAAAAUUAAACACAAAGGAAAAAUAUGAAAAGAAGCAAGAGAAAAGCAACAAAUAACAUAUAAGGGAAAACCCAUAAGGAUAACAGCUGAUCUUUCUGCAGAAACUCUGCAGGCCACAAGGGAGGGACAGAAAAUACUUAAAUCUUGGUAGAGAAAAACCUACAGCCAAGAACACUCUACCCAGCAAGAAUCUCAUUAAGAUUAGACAGAGAAAUCAAAAGCUUCACAGACAAGCAAAAGUUAAGAGAAUUCAGCACCACUAAACCAGCCUUACAAAAAUUGCUAAAGGAAUGUCCUUAGGCAGGAAACACAAGAAAGGGAAAAGACCUACAAAAACAAACCCAAAACAAUUAAGAAAAUGGUAAUAGGAACAUACAUGUCAAUAAUUACCUUAAAUGUAAAUGGAUUAAAUGCUCCAACCAAAAGACAGAGACUGGCUGAAAGGAUACAAAAACAAGACCCGUAUAUAUGCUGUCUACAAGAAACCCACUUCAGCCCUAGGGACACAUGCAGACUGAAAGUAAAGGGAUGGAAAAAGAUAUUCCAUGCAAAUUAAAUUCAAAAGAAAGCUGGAAUAGCAAUACUCAUAUCAGACACAUUAGACUUUAAAGACUAUUACAAGAGACAAGGAAGGACCCUACAUAAUGAUCAAGGGAUCAAUCCAAGAAGAAGAUAGAACAAUUGCAAAUAUCUCUGCACCCAACAUAGGAGCACCUCAAUACAUAAGGCAAAUGCUAACAGCCAUAAAAGGGGACAUCAACAGUAACACAAUAAGAGUAGCAGAUUUUAACACCCCACUUACAUCAAUAGACAGAUCAUCCAAACAGAAACUAAAUAAGAAAACACAAGCUUUAAAUGACACAUUACACCAUCUCGACUUAAUUGAUAUUUAUAGGACAUUCCAUCCAAAAAUGACAGAAAACACUUUCUUCUCAAGUGCACACAGAACAUUCUCCAGGAUAGAUCACAUCUUGGGUCACAAAUCAAGCCUCAGUAAAUUCAAGAAAAUUGAAAUCAUAUCAAGCAUCUUCUCUGACCACAAUGCCAUGAGACUAGAUAUCAAUUACAAGAGAAAAAGAUUGCAAAAAAUACAAACACGUGGGAGCUAAACAAUACACUAUUAAACAACCAAGAAAUCAUUGAAGAAAUCAAAGUGGAAAUCAAAAGAUACCUAGAAACAAAUGACAAUGAAAACACAACAACCCAAAACCUAUGGGUUACAGCAAAAGCAGUUCUAAGAGGGAAGUGUAUAGCAAAACAAUUCUACCUCAAGAAAGAAGAAAAAUCUUGAAUAAACAACGUAAGCUUACACCUAAAACAAUUAGAAAAAGAACAACAAAAAAAAUACUUAAAGUGAGCAGAAGGAAAGAAAUCAUAAAGACUAGAUCAGAAAUAAAUGAAAAAGAAAUGAAGGAAACAAUAGCAAAAAUUAAUAAAACUAAAAGCUGGUUCUUUGAGAAGAUAAAGAAAAUUGAUAAACCAUUAGCCAGACUCAUCAGGAAAAAAAGGGAGAAAACACAAAUCAACAGAAUUAGAAAUGAAAAAGGAGACGUAACAACCGACACUGCAGAAAUAUAAAAGAUCAUGAGAGCCUACUUCAAGCAAGUCUAUGCCAAUAAGUUGGAUAACAUAGGAGACAUGGAUAAAUUCUUAGAAAAGUACAACCUUCCAAGACUGAACCAGGAAGAAAUAGAAAAUCGCAACAGAACAAUCGCAAGUACUGAAGUUGAGACUGUGAUUAAAAAUCUCCCAGCAGACAAAAGCCAAGGGCCAGAUGGCUUCACUGGCAAAUUCUAUCAAACAUUUAGAGAAGAGCUAACACCUAUCCUUCUCAAACUCUUCCAAAAUAUAGCAGAAGAAGGAAGACUCCCAAACUCAUUCUCCAAGACCACCAUCACCCUGAUACCAAAACCAGGCAAAGACGUCACCAAAAAAGAAAAUUAGAGGCCAAUAUCACUGAUGAAUAUAGAUGCAAAAAUCCUGAACAAAAUUCUAGCAAACAGAAUCCAACAGCAUAUUAAAAAGAUCAUACAUCAUGAUCAAGUGGGGUUUAUCCCUGGAAUGCAAGGAUUCUUCAAUAUACACAAAUCAAUCAAUGUGAUACAUCAUAUUAACAAAUUGAAGGAUAAAACCAUAUGAUCAUCUCAAUAGAUGCAGAACAAUCUUUUGACAAAAUUCAACAUCUGUUUAUGAUAAUAAGAAAAACUCUCCAGAAAAUGUGCAUAGAAUGAAAUUAUCUCAGCACAAUGAAAGCCAUAUAUGAUAAAUCAACAACCAGCAUCAUUCUCAAUGGGGAAAAACUGAAAGCAUUCCCUCUAAGAACAGGAACAAGACAAGGCUGCCCACUCUCACUACUGUUAUUCAACAUAGUUUUGGAAGUGUCAUCCACAGAACUCAUAGAAGAAAAUGAAAUAAAAGAAUCCAAAUUGGAAAAGAAGAAGUAAAAUUGUCACUCUUUGCAGAUGAUAUAUUUUCCAUAGAAAACCCUAAAGAUGCUACCAGAAAACUGCUAGCACUAAUCCAUGAUUUUAGUAAAUAGCAGGAUACAAAAUUAAUGCACAGAAAUCUCUUGCAUUCCUAUACACUAACAACAGAAGAGCAGAAAGGGAAAUUAAGGAGACACUCCCAUUUACCAUUGCAGCAAAAAGAAUAAAAUACCUAGGAAUAAACCUGCCUACGGAGGCAAAAGACCUGUAUCCAGUAAACUAUGUCACUGAUGAAAGACAUCAGAGACAAUACAAACAGAUGGAGAGACAUACCAUGUUCUUGGAUUGAAAGAAUCAACAUUGUGAAAAUGAGUAUCCUACUCAAAGCAAUUUACAGAUUCAAUGCAAUCCCUAUCAAAUUACCAAUGGCAUUUUUCACAGAGCUAGAACAAGAAAUUUUACGAUUUGUAUGGAAAUACAGAAGACCCCGAAUAGCCAAAGCAAUCUUGAGAAGGAAAGACGGAGAUGGAGGAAUCAGACUCCCUGACUUCAAAGGCUACAGUGAUCAAGACAGUAUGGCACUGGCACAAAAACAGAAAUACAGAUUAAUGGAACAGAAUACAGAGCCCAGAGAUAAACCCAUGCUCAUAUGGGCACUUUAACUUUGACAAAGGAGGCAAGAAUAUACAAUGGAAAAAAAGUCUCUUCAAUAAGUGGUGCUGGGAACAUUGGACAGCUACAUGUAAAAGAAUGAAAUUAGAACACUUCCUAACACCGUACACAAAAAUAAACUCAAAAUGGAUUAAAGACCUACAUGUAAGGCCAGACACUAUAAAACUCCUAGAGGAAAACAUAGGAAGAACACUCUAUGACAUAAAUCAAAGCAAGAUCCUAGAAUAAUGAAAAUAAAAUAAAAAAUAAACAAAUGGGACAAUGAAACUUUAAAGUUUUUGCACAGCAAAAGAAGCCAUAAACAAGACUAGAAGACAACCCUCAGAAUGGGAGAAAAUAUUUGUCCAUGAAGCAAUGGACAAAGGAUUAAUCUCCAAAAUAUACAAGCGGCUCAUACAGCUUAAUACCAAAAAAGCAAAUAAACCAAUCCGCAAAUGGGCAGAAGACCUAAAUAGACAUUUCUCCAAAGAAGACAUGCAGAUGGCUAACAAACACAUGAAAAGAUGCUCAACAUCAUUAAUCAUUAGACAAAUACAAGUCAAAGCCACAAUGAGGUAUCACCUCACACCAAUCAGAAUAGUUAUCAUCAAAAAAUCUAGAAACAAUAUAUGCUGGAGAGGGUGUGGAGAAAAGGGAACCCUCCUGCACUGUUGGUGGGAAUGUAAGCUGGUACAGCCACUAUGGAACACAGUAUGGAGGUUCCUUAAAAAACUAAAAAUAGAACUACCAUAUGACCCAGCAACCCCACUUCUGGGCAUAUACCCUGAUAAAACCAUAAUUCAAAACGAAACAUGUACCACAAUAUACAUUGCAGCACUAUUUACAAUAGCCAGGACAUGGAAGCAACCUAAAUACCCAUCAACAGAUGAAUGGAUAAAGAAGAUGUGGCACAUAUUUACAAUGGAAUAUUACUCAGCCAUAAAAACGAAUGAUAUUGAGUUAUUUGUAGUGAAGUGGAUGGAACUAGAGUCUGUCAUACAGAACAAAGUAAGGCAGAAAGAGAAAAACAAACACCCUUCGCUAACGUAUAUAUAUGGAAUCUAAAACAAUGGUACUGAUGAACCCAGUGACAGGGCAAGAAUAAAGAUGCAGAUGUAGAGAAUGGACUUGAGGACACAGGGUUGGGGUGGGGGGUGGCGAAGGGGAAGCUGGGAUGAAGUGAGAGAGUAGCAUUUACAUAUAUACACCGCCGAAUGUAAAAUAGAUAUCUAGUGGGAGGCUGCGGCAUAAUACAGGGAGAUCAACUCAAUGA